rnacentral:rRNA from 1 species
CAGCAGCCGCGGUAAUACGAAGGGUGCAAGCGUUACUCGGAAUUACUGGGCGUAAAGCGUGCGUAGGUGGUGGUUUAAGUCCGUUGUGAAAGCCCUGGGCUCAACCUGGGAAUUGCAGUGGAUACUGGGUCACUAGAGUGUGGUAGAGGAUAGUGGAAUUUCCGGUGUAGCAGUGAAAUGCGUAGAGACCGGAAGGAACAUCUGUGGCGAAGGCGACUAUCUGGGCCAACACUGACACUGAGGCACGAAAGCGUGGGGAGCAAACAGGAUUAGAUACCCGAGUAGUCCCUGUCUCUUAUAA